GACGAACGCUGGCGGCGUGCUUAGCACAUGCAAGUCGAACGGAAAGGCCCUGCUUUUGUGGGGUGCUCGAGUGGCGAACGGGUGAGUAACACGUGAGUAACCUGCCCUGGACUUUGGGAUAACUUCAGGAAACUGGGGCUAAUACCGGAUAGGAGCUCCUGCUGCAUGGUGGGGGUUGGAAAGUUUCGGCGGUUGGGGAUGGACUCGCGGCUUAUCAGCUUGUUGGUGGGGUAGUGGCUUACCAAGGCUUUGACGGGUAGCCGGCCUGAGAGGGUGACCGGCCACAUUGGGACUGAGAUACGGCCCAGACUCCUACGGGAGGCAGCAGUGGGGAAUAUUGCACAAUGGGCGGAAGCCUGAUGCAGCAACGCCGCGUGCGGGAUGACGGCCUUCGGGUUGUAAACCGCUUUCGCCUGUGACGAAGCGUGAGUGACGGUAAUGGGUAAAGAAGCACCGGCUAACUACGUG
rnacentral:rRNA from 1 species